CCUACGGGGGGCUGCAGUGGGGAAUAUUGCACAAUGGGGGCAAGCCUGAUGCAGCCAUGCCGCGUGUGUGAAGAAGGCCUUCGGGUUGUAAAGCACUUUCAGCGGGGAGGAAGGCGGUGAGGUUAAUAACCUCAUCGAUUGACGUUACCCGCAGAAGAAGCACCGGCUAACUCCGUGCCAGCAGCCGCGGUAAUACGGAGGGUGCAAGCGUUAAUCGGAAUUACUGGGCGUAAAGCGCACGCAGGCGGUCUGUCAAGUCGGAUGUGAAAUCCCCGGGCUCAACCUGGGAACUGCAUUCGAAACUGGCAGGCUAGAGUCUUGUAGAGGGGGGUAGAAUUCCAGGUGUAGCGGUGAAAUGCGUAGAGAUCUGGAGGAAUACCGGUGGCGAAGGCGGCCCCCUGGACAAAGACUGACGCUCAGGUGCGAAAGCGUGGGGAGCAAACAGGAUUAGAUACCCGAGUAGUC
rnacentral:rRNA from 1 species